ACAGCAGUACUUGUACUGGCUGACGAGUGGCGGACGGGUGAGUAAUGUAUAGUUAAUCUGCCUCUUAGAGAGGGAUAACUACUGGAAACGGUAGCUAAUACCUCAUACUCCUUUUCUAUUAAUUAGAAUUGGGAAAUGUUUUUUCGCUAAGAGAUGAGACUAUAUGGUAUCAGCUUGUUGGUGAGGUAAUGGCUCACCAAGGCAAUGACACCUAGCUGGUCUGAGAAGAUGAUCAGCCACACUGGAACUGAGACACGGUCCAGACUCCUACGGGAGGCAGCAGUGGGGAAUAUUGCACAAUGGAGGAAACUCUGAUGCAGCAACGCCGCGUGGAGGAUGACGCAUUUCGGUGUGUAAACUCCUUUUAUAUAGGAAGAUAAUGACGGUACUAUAUGAAUAAGCACCGGCUAACUCCGUGCCAGCAGCCGCGGUAAUACGGAGGGUGCAAGCGUUACUCGGAAUCACUGGGCGUAAAGCGCGCGCAGGCGGUUUGAUAAGUUGGAAGUGAGAUCCUAUGGCUCAACCAUAGAACUGCUUCCAAAACUGUCAAACUAGAGUGUGGGAGGGGAAGAUGGAAUUAGUUGUGUAGGGGUAAAAUCC
rnacentral:rRNA from 1 species